UACAGAGGUCCCAAGCGUUGUUCGGAUUCACUGGGCGUAAAGGGUGCGUAGGUGGUCAGGCAAGUCUGAUGUGAAAUCUCCGAGCUUAACUCGGAAACUGCAUCGGAAACUGCUUGGCUUGAGGGUUGAAGGGGGGACUGGAAUACUUGGUGUAGCAGUGAAAUGCGUAGAUAUCAAGUGGAACACCAGUGGCGAAGGCGAGUCCCUGGACAACUCCUGACACUGAGGCACGAAAGCUAGGGGAGCAAACAGG
rnacentral:rRNA from 1 species